CAAAAAAACCACAGGAUGGGCCUACUGCCACUUACUAAGCCCAAUACAGGGGGUGUAUGGACAAUGGAGUGGGUAUGUGAGAUAGCAAACUAACUUGGGCUUGUGAAAGCCCGAAAGUGAAAAAUGAAUAAACAGAUACCCUAAUCCUAUCGCAUGCAUUCAACAUCUUCACUAUGAUGAAGAUCUGGUAGCGACGGUGAAUCCGGCCGCGCUGAGUCUCGUCACCGGCGACGGAGACUCGAACCUCCGUGAUGCUCUCUGCUUCUACUCUCCUCCACCGCCGUGAUUACGUAUUCCACAAACCAAUCCCCGACGCCAGGUUGCAACGAUAUCAAAAAAAUCGGAUUAAACGCGAAGUAGAGAAAAGUCUUACUGAUUCUGAUGUGGAGGCGCUUCGAUUCGUGCUCCCGUGGCUCCGGUUUCUUGCUCUUCCAAGAUUUCACCAAAUCGUGAUGAGGAAUCGACUGAGAUGUACUGAGUGCUCGCGUUGGUGUGGGAUUCCGCUGAAUUCGCCCUGCCGUGAAGUGAUGUUGAUGCUGAUUGAUUGAAAAAGGGGGGUUGUUAUUCAACAGGUUUUGGAAAAGUUCUGAAGAGUUGGUUUUGAAUUGGGAACUUCCCAAAAGAGCUUUUGGAAGAGUCUGUGAAAUUUGCUUCAAACUGCUGUGUUUACGGCUUAUUCUAAUUUUUUUUAUAAAAUUAUUUCUGAUGUAACAGAGACUUUUUGGAUUAUGAAUUUAGGGAUUGCUUGUAACAUGUACAAACUUAAUUUGGAAUUUCUCUUUUUCUCUUUUUGGACAGUUAUGUAAUUGUUUUGGAUUAUUAGGAAUUUUUGGAAUAAAUUUUAAUUAUGUAA